UACGGAGGGAGCUAGCGUUGUUCGGAAUUACUGGGCGUAAAGAGCGCGCAGGCGGUCAGAUAAGUCGAAUGUGAAAGCCCCCGGCUCAACUGGGGAGGGUCAUUCGAUACUGUUCGACUCGAAGGCAGGAGAGGGAAGUGGAAUUCCCGGUGUAGUGGUGAAAUGCGUAGAUAUCGGGAGGAACACCAGUGGCGAAGGCGACUUCCUGGCCUGUUCUUGACGCUGAGGCGCGAAAGCUAGGGGAGCGAACGGG
rnacentral:rRNA from 1 species